UUUGGGACCUGGGUUUCCUUUAAAUGUCAAACUGCGUAAAGCAAAGUGUCUUCUGUUUAAAAGAAGGAAAAAAACAGAAAGCUAAAUCUUAGGAGAGAAGCAAGAUGAUUUGCCCCGUAAAUUCAUUAGGAUUAUUAUAUGGUCUCAUUUUUGUUGACAAGUGCAGUUCAAACCCCCCAAUAAG
rfam:Merops nubicus contig23133, whole genome shotgun sequence.